rnacentral:hammerhead_ribozyme from 1 species
GCACUAAUGAGGAGUCCGAUAAUAGGACGAAAUGGCCAUCCAGUAC